ensembl:lncRNA
CUGGAGCCCCUAGGCAGGUGGCUGGCUUCCCGGAUGUCCUGGGAGUGCAGCCCCGCUCACAUGCCUCAUCAGAAAUGCACGAACUCAAGGGUGAGCGAGAGGCAGCCUGGAAGGCUCUGGCAAUGAUUUAACUCAAUUAAAGUCUGUGGGAGGGCUCAGCUUCACAUCAUGAGGCAAACACAGGAUGAGUAACUGAUAUAAGACCGAACAGCACUUUCCUUGUGCCUUUUGUCUUUAGAGUGGCGGGAGGUGGAUGAUAUUCCUGCAUCGACAUGGUAAUGCUGGAGCUGGGAAGACUGUGUACAUAAGUGUGGCUGUCACUGAAAUUCUCAACAGGGGGGAUUUUACACAUCUAAUAGAUUUAUCACAUCCAGCACUUUGCCAUUUGACACCCACUUUGCUAUUUAUUUUGCCUCCUCCUUUACACUGCUGUGCAGGAUGAUGCUCCCAUCUCUUUAUAGAUCUUCAAGCUAUCUGGGGAGAGGUGGGGAUUCACCUUCAAAAAAAAAAAUAAAAAAGAUUGUUCCUGUUCUGGUGAAGGACUUGAGUGCCGAUGCAGCUCUAAGCAUGGGAGGAAGUUACGUGUGUUUCAUGAGAUGGCUCACC